rnacentral:rRNA from 1 species
CGCUGGCGGCGUGCCUAAUACAUGCAAGUCGAACGCUUCUUUCCUCCCGAGUGCUUGCACUCAAUUGGAAAGAGGAGUGGCGGACGGGUGAGUAACACGUGGGUAACCUACCCAUCAGAGGGGGAUAACACUUGGAAACAGGUGCUAAUACCGCAUAACAGUUUAUGCCGCAUGGCAUAAGAGUGAAAGGCGCUUUCGGGUGUCGCUGAUGGAUGGACCCGCGGUGCAUUAGCUAGUUGGUGAGGUAACGGCUCACCAAGGCCACGAUGCAUAGCCGACCUGAGAGGGUGAUCGGCCACACUGGGACUGAGACACGGCCCAGACUCCUACGGGAGGCAGCAGUAGGGAAUCUUCGGCAAUGGACGGAAGUCUGACCGAGCAACGCCGCGUGAGUGAAGAAGGUUUUCGGAUCGUAAAACUCUGUUGUUAGAGAAGAACAAGGACGUUAGUAACUGAACGUCCCCUGACGGUAUCUAACCAGAAAGCCACGGCUAACUACGUGCCAGUAGCCGCGGUAAUACGUAGGUGGCAAGCGUUGUCCGGAUUUAUUGGGCGUAAAGCGAGCGCAGGCGGUUUCUUAAGUCUGAUGUGAAAGCCCCCGGCUCAACCGGGGAGGGUCAUUGGAAACUGGGAGACUUGAGUGCAGAAGAGGAGAGUGGAAUUCCAUGUGUAGCGGUGAAAUGCGUAGAUAUAUGGAGGAACACCAGUGGCGAAGGCGGCUCUCUGGUCUGUAACUGACGCUGAGGCUCGAAAGCGUGGGGAGCAAACAGGAUUAGAUACCCUGGUAGUCCACGCCGUAAACGAUGAGUGCUAAGUGUUGGAGGGUUUCCGCCCUUCAGUGCUGCAGCAAACGCAUUAAGCACUCCGCCUGGGGAGUACGACCGCAAGGUUGAAACUCAAAGGAAUUGACGGGGGCCCGCACAAGCGGUGGAGCAUGUGGUUUAAUUCGAAGCAACGCGAAGAACCUUACCAGGUCUUGACAUCCUUUGACCACUCUAGAGAUAGAGCUUUCCCUUCGGGGACAAAGUGACAGGUGGUGCAUGGUUGUCGUCAGCUCGUGUCGUGAGAUGUUGGGUUAAGUCCCGCAACGAGCGCAACCCUUAUUGUUAGUUGCCAUCAUUUAGUUGGGCACUCUAGCGAGACUGCCGGUGACAAACCGGAGGAAGGUGGGGAUGACGUCAAAUCAUCAUGCCCCUUAUGACCUGGGCUACACACGUGCUACAAUGGGAAGUACAACGAGUCGCUAGACCGCGAGGUCAUGCAAAUCUCUUAAAGCUUCUCUCAGUUCGGAUUGCAGGCUGCAACUCGCCUGCAUGAAGCCGGAAUCGCUAGUAAUCGCGGAUCAGCACGCCGCGGUGAAUACGUUCCCGGGCCUUGUACACACCGCCCGUCACACCACGAGAGUUUGUAACACCCGAAGUCGGUGAGGUAACCUUUUUGGAGCCAGCCGCCUAAGGUGGGAUAGAUGAUUGGGGUG